GCCGGGCGCAGUGGCCCGCGCCUGUAAUCCCAGCACUUUAGGAGGCAGAGGCAGGUGGAUCACUUGAGGUCAGGAGUUUGAGACCAGCCUGGCCUACAUGGUGAAACCCUGUCUCUA
rnacentral:SRP_RNA from 1 species